rnacentral:rRNA from 1 species
GACGAACGCUGGCGGCGUGCCUAAUACAUGCAAGUAGAACGCUGAAGGAGGAGCUUGCUCUUCUGGAUGAGUUGCGAACGGGUGAGUAACGCGUAGGUAACCUGCCUGGUAGCGGGGGAUAACUAUUGGAAACGAUAGCUAAUACCGCAUAAGAGUAGAUGUUGCAUGACAUUUACUUAAAAGGUGCAAUUGCAUCACUACCAGAUGGACCUGCGUUGUAUUAGCUAGUUGGUGGGGUACGGCUUACCAAGGCGACGAUACAUAGCCGACCUGAGAGGGUGAUCGGCCACACUGGGACUGAGACACGGCCCAGACUCCUACGGGAGGCAGCAGUAGGGAAUCUUCGGCAAUGGACGGAAGUCUGACCGAGCAACGCCGCGUGAGUGAAGAAGGUUUUCGGAUCGUAAAGCUCUGUUGUAAGAGAAGAACGAGUGUGAGAGUGGAAAGUUCACACUGUGACGGUAUCUUACCAGAAAGGGACGGCUAACUACGUG